GACAGAGGUGCCGGGCGUUAGGCGGAAUCACUGGGCUUAAAGCGUGUGUAGGCGGAUGCCUAAGUACCUUGUGAAAUCCCACGGCUCAACCGUGGAACUGCUUGGUAUACUGGGUGUCUUGAGCUAUCUAGGGGCAACUGGAACAAACGGUGGAGCGGUGAAAUGCGUAGAUAUCGUUUGGAACGCCAAUGGUGAAAACAGGUUGCUGGGGAUAUGCUGACGCUGAGACACGAAAGCCAGGGGAGCAAACGGG
rnacentral:rRNA from 1 species